rnacentral:rRNA from 1 species
UACGGAGGGUGCGAGCGUUGUCCGGAAUCAUUGGGCGUAAAGGGCGCGUAGGUGGCCCGGUCAGUCAGUGGUGAAAGCGCGGGGCUCAACUCCGCGUCGGCCAUUGAUACUGCUGGGCUGGAGCACUGUAGAGGCAGGCGGAAUUCCGGGUGUAGCGGUGGAAUGCGUAGAGAUCCGGAAGAACACCGGUGGCGGAGGCGGGUCUCUGGGCCGAUACUGACGCUGAGGAGCGAAAGCGUGGGGAGCGAACAGG